UACAGAGGUCUCAAGCGUUGUUCGGAUUCAUUGGGCGUAAAGGGUGCGUAGGUGGCGGGGUAAGUCAGGUGUGAAAUCUCGGGGCUCAACCCCGAAACUGCACUUGAUACUGCCUUGCUCGAGUACUGGAGAGGAGAUUGGAAUUUACGGUGUAGCAGUGAAAUGCGUAGAUAUCAGGAAGAACACCCGUGGCGAAGGCGGCUCUCUGGAACGCAACUGACGCUGAGACGCGAAAGCGUGGGGAGCAAACAGG
rnacentral:rRNA from 1 species